GGAGGAAAGUAGGGGAUCGCAAGACCUUGCGCUUUUUGAGCGGCCGAUGCCUGAUUAGCUAGUUGGUAAGGUAAUGGCUUACCAAGGCAACGAUCAGUAGCUGGUCUGAGAGGACGACCAGCCACACUGGGACUGAGACACGGCCCAGACUCCUACGGGAGGCAGUAGUGGGGAAUUUUGGACAAUGGGCGAAAGCCUGAUCCAGCCAUGCCGCGUGAGUGAAGAAGGCCUUCGGGUUGUAAAGCUCUUUCGGUCGGGAAGAAAUAGUUGUGGCUAAUAUCCACAAUGAAUGACGGUACCGACAUAAGAAGCACCGGCUAACUACGUGCCAGCAGCCGCGGUAAUACGUAGGGUGCAAGCGUUAAUCGGAAUUAUUGGGCGUAAAGGGUGCGCAGGCGGUUGCAUAAGUCAGAUGUGAAGUCCCUGGGCUUAACCUAGGAAUUGCGUUUGAAACUACAAAGCUAG
rnacentral:rRNA from 1 species